rnacentral:rRNA from 1 species
GAUGAACGCUGGCGGCGUGCCUAAUACAUGCAAGUCGAGCGAACGGACGAGAAGCUUGCUUCUCUGAUGUUAGCGGCGGACGGGUGAGUAACACGUGUAUAACCUACCUAUAAUACUGGUAUAACUUCGGGAAACGGGCGAUUAUACCGGAUGAUAUUUUGAACCGCAGUGUUCAAUGGAAAAAUUCGGUCUUUCGGGCACUAAUCGCUGGAUCUGCGCUGCAUUGGCUAGUUGGUACGGUAACGGCUUACCACGGCAACGAUGCAUAGCCGAACGGAGGGGGGGGUAGGCGACACUGGAAGUGAGCCAGGGUCAAGACGACUACGGGAGGCAGCAGUAGGGAAUCUUACGCAAUGGGCGGAAGCCUGACGGAGUAGCGCCGAGUGAGUGACGAAGGUCUUCGGAUCGUAAAACUCUGCUAUUAGGGAAGAACAUAUGUGUAAGUAAACGAGCACAUAUUGACGGUAACUAAUAAGAAAGCAACGGCUAACUACGUG